rnacentral:rRNA from 1 species
GGGAAGUAUACAGCGUAACAAGGUUUCCGUAGGUGAACCUGCGGAAGGAUCAUUACAACAAUAAUUCAACAUUGUGUCAGAGCAAUAACAUCUAAAACCGAUCAUCAAUUAAUUAAUUCAAAACUUUCAACAACGGAUCUCUAGGUUCUCGCAUCGAUGAAGAACGCAGCGAAAUGCGAUACGUAGUACGAAACGCAAGUCGUGAAUCAUCGAAUCUUUGAACGCACAUUGCGCUGUGUGGCAUUCCACACAGCAUGCCUGUUUGAGCAAUAUUUCUCUCUCGCAAGGUGUUGGGCACCACGCCGGCAGGCGUCUGCCAGAAACGAAAUUGUCUAAAACAGUUAAGCUUGUUACAGACUCUUGAUCUUAUUCUCAAAUCAGGUAGGACUACCCGCUGAACUUAAGCAUAUCAAAA